rnacentral:tRNA from 1 species
CGAGGUGUGGCGCAGCUUGGCUAGCGCGUCUGCUUUGGGAGCAGAAGGCCGGAGGUUCAAAUCCUCUCACCUCGA